rnacentral:rRNA from 1 species
GUCGCCGACCCUCAACCGAGGGUGUCGGACGUCGCGACCCGUUCGCCAUUUUGUCGAUGCUCAGGGACGCGUCGCCAGUUCGCCAGCGCCGUCGUCUCGGCGGCGGCGCGACGAUGGCGCGUUUCCGUUGUUUUCGACGCGGACGGUAGCUUUGCGCGCGGGUAUUCGACGCGGCCCAACUCGUUCGCGCGUCACUUCGGUGGCGUCGAGCGGGGGCGCUCGCGUCGACGCCGGUCAGCGACGAAUCUUCGGGCCUCUUUCCGACCCGUCUUGAAACACGGACCAAGGAGUCUAGCGUGCGCGCGAGUCGCGGGGUAUCCGAGCCGUCGUAGUCGCGUUUCGGCGCGGCGAACGCGGCUCGUCACGAUACGAAACCCGUGUACGUACGUUGUGCGAAGGCGUAAUGAAAGUGAAAGGCGGCGCUUCGCGCGUCGCCGGGGGAAGAUGGCGUUCCGAGUUCACGUAUCGCGGUCGCACGUGUACCGCGACCGGACGCCCGCAUUCCCAGGGCGUCUCGCUCGUACGGCCGCGGCCGGGGUUCGCUUCGGUCGCGGACGAACUGAGGCGCACCUACAGCGUGCACGCUGGUACCCGAAAGAUGGUGAACUAUGCCCGGCCAGGAUGAAGUCAGGGGAAACCCUGAUGGAGGUCCGCAGCGAUUCUGACG